rnacentral:sRNA from 1 species
ACAGGGCGUUCCCGCCCGGGACUAAGCCGGGGAGCGCAUCCCGGCUACUGCGGGUCCUGGGUCUUCACCUGCGGAGCCUUUCGGCAGCUGAGCGGUGGGAGGGACCUGAGCCGCGGCGCUAGGAUGGGAAACAGUGCGCUCCGCGCUCAUGUGGAAACGGCGCAGAAAACUGGUGUCUUUCAGCUUAAGGACCGAGGGCUGACCGAGUUCCCCGCAGACUUGCAGAAGCUGACGAGCAAUCUCAGGACAAUCGACUUGUCCAACAACAAGAUCGAAAGCCUACCGCCUUUGCUGAUAGGAAAGUUCACUCUGCUGAAGAGCCUCUCCCUGAACAACAACAAACUGAGUAUGGCUCUUGCCAGGGAGGCUUUUGCUAGUGAUCAGCUGUUACCAGGGGUGGUUUUCUCUUACAAGCUGAUUUUUGUUUUUGUUAUGAAACCGUGCAGGAGGGCUCAAGUUGCGAAUGCCGGAAUCCUUGAAGCCUUCUUUCUACUUCUUGUAAUUACAUCUAAAAUAAGCCUUAUAAUGAUUGGGUGUUAUAAUGAUUGUUACUGGGUUAAUUUGGACUUGAAAGAGAAGAACAUUUUGGGGAUGUAAUGUAAACAAAGCUACCUAACUUGGAAUGGGGGAUGGAUGAGAAGGGGAGGAUCUUCCAAAUAUCACAAAAUUGCUGUCGGAUUGUGCCUUGGGCCCCUUUACAAAAGGAGCCCAUUAUACACACAAAUGCUCUCCGGCAUUUUGAUGGCACCCUCACCUUCUAAAGACUAUGUUGGUAAAAUGCAAUAUCUAAAAAUGGCACAUGUGGGAGUUUUACAUAUAUUAACAAGAGGCGAAGCAGGCUGCCAUAUAGUCUUUAUAAACUUCAUCAAAGUUGUUUUCAGCUCUAUCAGAUUCAGGUUUUAAAAAAAUUUUUCUUUGCCAGCUGUUCUGCCUGAUGAGAUAUGCAAUCUGAAAAAACUAGAGACGCUAAGCCUAAACAACAAUCACCUUAGAGAGCUGCCGUCUACCUUUGGGCAACUCUCUGCCCUCAAGACCCUGAGCCUCUCUGGGAACCAACUGGGAGCAUUACCUCCCCAACUUUGUAGCCUACGGCACCUAGAUGUGAUGGAUCUCUCUAAGAACCAGAUUCGAAGUAUACCUGACUCAGUGGGAGAGCUGCAAGUCAUCGAACUCAACCUCAACCAGAAUCAGAUAUCUCAGAUCUCAGUGAAGAUAUCUUGCUGUCCACGCCUUAAAAUUCUUCGCCUGGAAGAGAAUUGUCUUGAGCUCAGCAUGCUUCCCCAGAGCAUCCUCAGUGAUUCCCAGAUCUGUCUGCUUGCUGUGGAAGGCAAUCUUUUUGAAAUAAAGAAACUUCGAGAACUGGAAGGCUAUGAUAAGUACAUGGAGAGGUUCACAGCCACCAAGAAGAAGUUUGCGUGAAGUUCUCCAGGACUAUGGAAACCUUACAGGAUACUGACUU